rnacentral:misc_RNA from 1 species
GAUGAAGAACGUAGCGAAAUGCGAUACGUAAUGUGAAUUGCAGAAUUCAGUGAAUCAUCGAAUCUUUGAACGCAUAUUGCGCUCUCUGGUAUUCCGGAGAGCAUGCUUGUUUGAGUAUCAGUAAACACCUCAACUUCCAUAUCUUUUUUGAAAUGGGAGUUGGACUUGAGUGAUCCCAACGCUUUUCCUCACCGAAAAGUGGCGGGUUACUUGAAAUGCAGGUGCAGCUGGACUUUUCUCUGAGCUAUAAGCAAAUCUAUUUAGUCUGCCUAAAAAACAGAUUAUUACCUUUGCUGCAGCUAACAUAAAGGAGAUUAGUUCUUGUGCUGACUGAUGCAGGAUUCACAAAGACAGCUUCGGCCGACUUUGUAAACUCGAUCUCAAAUCAAGUAAGACUACCCGCUGAACUUAAGCAUAUCAAUAAGCGGAGGA